CUGUGGAUGGUCCAGCGGGUGUACUUCGGGCCUCCGAGGCCGGAGGUCCAGCGGUUCGCGCCGCUUUCGCUGCC
rnacentral:tRNA from 1 species